GGGGUAAUGGCCUACUAAGGCGACGACGGGUAGCCGGCCUGAGAGGGUGACCGGCCACACUGGGACUGAGAUACGGCCCAGACUCCUACGGGAGGCAGCAGUGGGGAAUAUUGCACAAUGGGCGCAAGCCUGAUGCAGCGACGCCGCGUGAGGGAUGACGGCCUUCGGGUUGUAAACCUCUUUCACCAGGGACGAAGCGCAAGUGACGGUACCUGGAGAAGAAGCACCGGCCAACUACGUGCCAGCAGCCGCGGUAAUACGUAGGGUGCGAGCGUUGUCCGGAAUUACUGGGCGUGAAGAGCUCGUAGGUGGUUUGUCGCGUUGUUCGUGAAAACUCACAACUCAAUUGUGGGCGUGCGGGCGAUACGGGCAGACUAGAGUACUGCAGGGGAGACUGGAAUUCCUGGUGUAGCGGUGGAAUGCGCAGAUAUCAGGAGGAACACCGGUGGCGAAGGCGGGUCUCUGGGCAGUAACUGACGCUGAGGAGCGAAAGCGUGGGGAGCGAACAGGAUUAGAUACCCUGGUAGUCCACGCCGUAAACGGUGGGUACUAGGUGUGGGUUCCUUCCUUGGGAUCCGCGCCGUCGCUAACGCAUUAAGUACCCCGCCUGGGGAG
rnacentral:rRNA from 1 species